rnacentral:rRNA from 1 species
GGAGAGUUUGAUCCUGGCUCAGAACUAACGCUAGUGGCGUGUCUUAGUCAUGCGAGUCGAGCGAGAAAGUCCUCUUCGGAGGGCGAGUACAGCGGCAAACGGGUGAGUAACGCGUGGGUAAUCUACCUUUGAGUUGGGGAUAACACUCCUAACGGAGUGCUAAUACCGAAUGUGAUGUCGGGAUCUUGGUUCCGGCUUGAAAGAUGGCCUCUGCUUGCAUGCUGUCGCUCGAAGAUGAGCCCGCGUCCUAUUAGCUUGUUGGUGGGGUAAUGGCCUACCAAGGCAACGAUGGGUAGCCGGCCUGAGAGGGUGAACGGCCACACUGGCACUGAGACAAGGGCCAGUCCCCUACGGGGGCCAGCAGUCUAGAAAUUUGCACAAUCGCCGAAAGGCGGAUGCAGCGACGCCACGUGGAGGAUGAAGCCUUUCGGGGUGUAAACUCCUGUCAGAGGGGAAGAAGGUGCGGGUAUUAAUACCAUCCGUUACUUGACGGUACCCUCAGAGGAAGCUCCGGCUAACUGCGUGCCAGCAGCCGCGGUAAUACGUGGGGAGCAAGCGUUGUUCGGAUUUACUGGGCGUAAA